CAAUUGGAGUCAGGCCAAGGGGCCGGGAUGAGAUACAUCAACCAGGACCCAGGAAAAUGGCCACCACAGCUGCUUCAAGGCCCUGCCAUCAUGGCCCCCGGCCCAGACAUCCUGGGGCUGGGAUGGGGGUGCAGCAAAGUGGCAAGCCCAGAGACCUCUGAGAAGUUCAUGAACGCCAUGGAUGCUCUCUUGAGAGUAAACUGGAAGGAAACUACAAGACACAGCAUGCCCACACAUGCAUGCAUGCCCACACGGAUGGAAACCCCACCCUACCUCACUCUGUGGACCCCAAGCAAGACAAAACUCUGGUAGGAGCACGUCCCACGUCCCAUCGAUUAGCACACGAGGCCUUGCUCUGAGCACUCAGGGGGGGCAGGUGGGGAAACUGAGGCUCAGGAGACUUGGGUAGAGGGACUUGCCCCAGGAGACAAGUGUGGCAAGGGGGUUAGCGGGGGUGGGUUGCAGGGGUGGGGGACAAGGUCCAUGACCUCCUGGCACCUCACGGGCUCUCUCAUUUCCAGAUGCUGCCUCCCAACAGCAGUGGGAGGAGGGGAGGCUGCAGGCACCCACCCAACUGUCCCCUGGGGAUAGGCAGGCUGUCUCAGAGGAGCGAAUGGAGCUCUUACCUGGGAGCAGCUGAGACUCCCCAUCAGGUAACAGCUGCCCAUUUACAGAGACGUUUCUGCCCCGGACCAGCACCUCCUCUGGUCCCAUCAUCACCCGGGCCUGCUCCAGAUGCGGAGUAGAAGAGGUUGUCAGUGGCUCUCCUCCUCCUGCAUCAGCUCCCUCCCUGCGUCCGUCCCCAUCUCCCUCCUCACCAGCUGGCAGUGCCCAGGCUGGGGGCAGUGCCCCCUGGGCUCGAGGUGGACAGCCCAAGUGGAAUCUGCAGCGCCCGCCAACAGGUAGGUGCAGCGGCCCAGGAAGUGGUAGUGGCGUCUGUCAAAGGUGCGAUAGUGGAAGCCUGACCAGGUGGCGCAGGUGGCUGAGGGACGCUG
rnacentral:lncRNA from 9 species